AUACCUACCUGGCAGGGGAGAUACCACGACCACGAAGGUGGUUUUCCCAGGAUGAAGCUGAUCCAUUGUACUCUGGGCGUGCUGACCCCUGAGAUUUCUCCAGACGUGGGAAACUCAAUGCAGAAUUUGUGGUAGUGGGGGGAUGCAUUUGCACUCUUCCC